AACGAACGCUGGCGGCGCGCCUAAUACAUGCAAGUCGAGCGAGAAGACGUAGCAAUACGUUUGUAAAGCGGCGAACGGGUGAGGAAUACAUGGGGUAACCUACCCUCGAGUGGGGAAUAACUAGCCGAAAGGUUAGCUAAUACCGCGUACGCUCCUUGGACUUCGGUUCAGGGAGGAAAGCGAUACCGUGGGUAUCGCGCUCUUGGAUGGGCUCAUGUCCUAUCAGCUUGUUGGUGAGGAACGGCUCACCAAGGCUUCGACGGGUAGCUGGUCUGAGAGGACGAUCAGCCACACUGGCACUGCGACACGGGCCAGACUCCUACGGGAGGCAGCAGUAAGGAAUAUUGCGCAAUGGGCGAAAGCCUGACGCAGCGACGCCGCGUGGGGGA
rnacentral:rRNA from 1 species